rnacentral:rRNA from 1 species
AUUGAACGCUGGCGGCGUGCCUAACACAUGCAAGUCGAACGAAGAGGCCCCUUCGGGGGUACUUCAGUGGCGGACGGGUGAGUAACACGUAGGUGACCUGCCCCGAAGUGUGGAAUAACAGUCCGAAAGGAUUGCUAAUACCGCAUGUGGUCUGUGAGGUUAGAGUCUUGCAGACUAAAGCAGUAAUGUGCUUCGGGAGGGGCCUGCGCCUCAUCAGCUAGUUGGUAGGGUAAUGGCCUACCAAGGCAACAACGGGUAGGGGGCCUGAGAGGGUGACCCCCCACAUUGGCACUGACACACGGGCCAAACUCCUACGGGAGGCAGCAGUGAGGAAUAUUGCUCAAUGGGCGAAAGCCUGAAGCAGCAACGCCGCGUGCGCGAUGAAGGCCUUCGGGUCGUAAAGCGCUUUUGAGAGGGACGAGAUAGGACGGUACCUCUGGAAUAAGUCACGGCUAACUACGUGCCAGCAGCCGCGGUAAGAC